rnacentral:rRNA from 1 species
GACGAACGCUGGCGGCGUGCUUAACACAUGCAAGUCGAACGGAAAGGCCCUGCUUUUGUGGGGUGCUCGAGUGGCGAACGGGUGAGUAACACGCGAGUAACCUGCCCUUGACUUUGGGAUAACUUCAGGAAACUGGGGCUAAUACCGGAGAUGAGCUCCUGCUGCAUGGUGGGGGUUGGAGAGUUUCGGCGGUGGGGGAUGGACUGGCGGCUUAUCAGCUUGUUGGUGGGGUAGUGGCGGACCAAGGCUUUGACGGGUAGCCGGCCUGGGAGGGUGACCGGCCACAUUGGGACUGAGAUACGGACCAGACUCCUACGGGAGGCAGCAGUCGGGAAUAUUGCACAAUGGGCGGAAGCGUGAUGCAGCAACGCCGCGUGCGGGAUGACGGCUUUCGGGUUGUAAACCGCUUUCGCAUGUGACGAAGCGUGCGUGACGGUAAUGGGUAAAGAAGCACCGGCUAACUACGUG